ACAGUACUGUCAGGCCAAGGAUCUUACUACAGAUAGCCACUUUCUCUCCUUCCCCAUGAAAGCAACCCACAAUGACCAAACCCCAAAACCAAUGAGAGGACCCACAUACUAGGUGAUCAUUCCUGGGAGAUGACAGUGAACAGAACUGAGAAAAGGAAGAAUCUGAAGAGCUUUUUUGUUAAACAAAGAAGAGCACUUCUAAGAUUGCUUUGGUUUUAAAGAAAAAAGAAACCUAGCCUCAAAAGCUUCAGUGUUCACAAGAGCAAGGCAGUAAGAGCACUCUGGUAGAGGCAGCACGCAGAUCCACCAUGCAGCAGUGUUACCUGACUUACGCUAUGCAGUAUUUUUAAAGUGAACAAAUCCUGCUCAGCAUUACAACUUGACAGACUGGACAAACCUGCAUGCUUAUAGAAAAGCUAAGAAUAGCAUAUGCCUGUGCAACAGUCACACAGUGGUGAUAUUUCAAGCAGCACAUGAGCUUCUAAUUCCAGUUUUCCUGAACAAUGGUUUAAAGAACAGGUGUAGCCCAAGCAUUAAGACAAAACUCAAGUAUCAAAAACUCUUAAAGACAGCACAACUCAAGCCAGAGAAACAAUCUUCCCCAUGGCAGUAUGGAGAGAAGAUCUUUCUGAUGUAGAAACAGAUGUCACUGUACAUUUUUCAGAACAUGACACUACUCGCUGUUUUGUAUGCUUGGCUUUACUGGAUGUAUUUAAAUUAUACUUUACGAUUGCUAUUAACUUCUUGAUUCUGGCUAUAUCAAAGUAAAGUAAGAAUAGCAUAAUCUUUAUUAGAAGUUUCUAUUUACAUGAAAAUUUAUAGUAACCAAUCACCAUUACCUAGGAAGGCUGUCCAAAAUAAUAAAAUUUGUAUUUCUUUCUAUUAAAGAAUCACAACUACAGAAAACCUGAUACAGCCAAGAUAUAAUUAUGAAGAACAUCAGACAGACACGCAUAAAACGCGAAAAGUGCAGCUAGAACAUCUAGUGUGUCAAGCACAGUGAAUGUGAUGCCAGCUGCACAGCACUUAAACAUAAUUAAACUGCUCUUCUCAUAUAAAUGCAAGUUAAAUGACAGACAGCAAGAAGGUUAUUUUAAAAUGUUUUUCAGAAGGGCGGCAUAAACAGCAUAUCAGCACCACCAAAAAAUAUUCUGGUUGUUUCUCAUUGGGGAGCAUCCCCUUUCACUUUAUCAUCAUAACCUGCGUGCACAAGCUGAGCAGCAUCCAAUUAUUUUCAGUUCACAGUAAAGAUGCAAUUGCUUUAAAAGUAAGGCCAAGUCCUAACAAUCCUCUAUACGGGGCAGUAACAUCCUGCUCAAAGUUUAAUUAAUGCUCAAAAUUCACUUCUUAAAAAAGUGUAUUUCUGAAUUGCAAUGUAAUGAGCGAUACCAGCUACUUUGAAAUGAUUAACUAAAGUACUAGAAGUAGAAUAGCCCUGACAUUGUGAGAAUCUUUUUACUGUGGCUUUUUGACCAAUUCCUGCAACAUAUUCAGCAGUCAAAUCCAAGGUUUAUUCUGCCAUAAAUGGAUCACUUGCAUGAGCUGGCAGCAAAUCUCUCCAGUCUGGAAGCAGAGCCUAGCAUAGCACAGAAGACUCAAAAGCCUUGGUUUCCCCUUCAUCCCACAUGUAUUACUUGCGCUCACAUUUGGAGAGAUGGCAGGAUAUAUGCUGCAAUCAUAAACUGUGACAGCAGCUUGUACGGACUACAGAAGCCAUCUUUAUUGUAGCCUGGAUAAUCACAGUGGUAAAAGCACAACUCUUGGAACAGAUCACUGCCAAAGGGAUGCAUCCCACUUCUUGGAUCAUGAAACAAGCAUUGAGGUAUGUAGUGCUGUAGCUGUGCUGGUAAUGCUAUCAAGCGAUCUCAUUUGAAGUUGACUUUUAUGAAUCCAGAUAUAUUUCCAGACUCAAAAACAUCACCUGAACUAACAGGAAAGUACAACGGCUUCAAAUAAUAGCAAAGAAAGUCACAGCAUUACUUUUAUCCUGGCUGAUAUUCCAGGAACUGAAUACGAAGUCUAAAUAUUGCCACAAAUGAAGUAUCAACCUGAAUGGCUCACGGUCAUUCACACAAGUUGUACGCAACAUACCUCGAAUUCAAUCUUGCAUCUUAUUUAAUUUUUUCUUAUCUACAGCCAGUUUUAAAAAGGUAGAAUAUUAAAAAAGGCUAAAUGCAUAUAAAACAGAUGGCAUUAACAUUUUCUAAUUUAAAAAGAAAACCGUUCAGUCUCCAGAGACUUAUAAGCUACGUUGAUGUGAUUAUCUGGGAUGUACUCUAAUCCUGUACUUAAUUAUAAGGAACAGUUAUAAAAAGUUCCUAAAAGUUACAAAAUUAUAUUCAUUCUCUAGGCUAGAUCUUUCAUAUGUAAUUUUUCCUGUAGAAGACACACUGUAUAGAUAUUCAAGAUGUAACCAGAAUUAAAACUAGAGGGAUAGGUCUACGAAUCAAGUUCACUUUUUUGUCCUUACAAAUAGGAUGUUUUUACCCACCGCACUGUCAGUCACAAUAGCUUAGAAAUUGGAAGGGAUUGUAUCUGCAACAUUUUAUUGAAGAAAAAGCAGAUAUCGUUCUAAGCCCUGCAAUCUAAAUCAUAACCAAAAAUUAAAACAUACUAAUUCUGAAAAGAAGUGCACACAUUCCCCUUCCCAGUUACUUUUUAAGAAACAAAAAGAAAUCUUAUUAUAAGCUGAAAGAAAUCCAUAUUCUACAGACAAAAGUACUUCACAAAUUCCCCUUAGAGAGCACAGUGGGGAGACAGAACUAAUCUAUUUACUAAUGAAGAUCUAAAAUUUAAGCAAACCUAUCAACUAACUUUCAAUCUUUAAAUAAAUAAAUGAAUAGAAGUCCUCUAAAAAUAACCCUACUCAUGUAAGUAGUACAAAGACAGCCAGAAGUUACAUGUUAUGGCUUUAAUUUCUUUCUUAUGGAUAAUGAAUGCAUGCACAGUCAUGACAUGAGCUUCUAUGGUCUUUAAUCACAUCAGGGACCAAUUACAGAUACACAAAUAGCAAUUUGGCUAAUUGAAGACAGGUUUCAAGGACUGCUUUCAAUGCCUAAGUGAAACCCAUCUGUCACAGAAGAAAAACACGUAAAUCCCACAGGUCCUGCAUAACUUACAGCUCUUUAUGUCUGUCCUAGAUCACCCAGAGUACAUAAAAUGGAACUCAAGGCCGUUAUCUGACACUUAAAUCACUCAUAUUCCUUGUGAUCUCCAUACACCUUCUGAAGUAACUAUUUAUCAGUGUAAGAAACUGCCACUGUAUCUAAAAAUGCGCAAUACUGGAACCCAAACAAUUCACCCUUAGUGACAGACAUGAUCUUGGACCCUUAAAAAUCAGCAGGAACCAUAGAUGAGUAGCAGGUAUCACCAUGCAAGAGUUUAAAAGAAAAACGUAACCAAUCCUAUUUCCCACCUCUUUUUGGUAUUAAAUAAAAUAUGAUCAGAAACAUAUUUCUGAAAACUUAUGUUUCUAUCCCAACCUAUUCCCUACAUCCUCUGCUUUCAAAAAGUACAUGAGAGUAACCUUUCAUUUUCCAGAAAUACCUGCACUGAUUCAAGUAACCAAUUAAACAAUAGCAAAGGGUCCAUCUGAACUGCGUGGGUGUCUUUCUCUAUUCUGUAAUACAAUAACUGAAAUAAAGUAUAUUGUGUAAAAGCAAAGCCAAUUCUACAUAAUCUCAUUUUCCCAAGCUGCAAGCAUGCUGAAAAGGGAUGAAUAACACCAUGGUGGAAAUUUAAUUCUCAGUGAGAUUUAUGCAAAAAAAACCAAAAUGCUCACCGUGUCUUGAGAUUUAUCUUUGACAUCAUAGACUGUGAGUUUUAUUUUAGUUUCUUCAUAGAUGGGGUAUUCCGGUGGGAAUGUCACACCAGUCAGAAACAGUGGAUCUCUUGUUCCCUGUGCAACACAAGUAAAUAUUCAGUAAGGUAACAGCUGUGCAAUGCAUAGUACGCCAUUAUGGAUGCAUGUACAGAAACCACGGUCUCUUUAGCAGAACUUAGCUGUUUUACAUCUCUCUGCUGUAUAAAGCUCAGUGCUACAUGAAAUGAGUAACAAACCAAUUUUAAAACUCUUGUCAUACUGGAAAAGAAUUUAAGUGCUUCUGAAACAGCCUAUAAACAUGCCAAACAGUUCAGUCUGCAGGCAUCAGUACCUGGGCUAGUGAUCUGUAACAAAAAAUGUCCUGUCUUCUCCUGAGAUACUUUUUGUUAAGUAUUUAGUUUCACAUCACUUUAAAUGAACUAAGAACACACCCCCAAAAUAUUGAGAUAUCUUAGACAAAUCAAAAAAGUCUACAUAAAUGCUACAGAAAAUCUUCAUAUUACAUUAAGGAUACUGACUUUUUAUUUUAUUUUUUAUUUUUUGCAGGGAUUAUAGUAGUGCCACUCUUUAGGCAGGAAUGGAGUAAGACAAUGUUUCUGUGCUUUGUAAUUCCUUAAGUCUUAAUUAUAACGACAACAUCAUCAUAAUUUCCAAACUUACCAGGCUAGUAUUCUUAAAUUUUCUGUUAAGAUUUAGUGUGAUAAAUAUAAUUUCACUUGCUGAAAUUAACUUUUCUUUGCCCAUGACACCUCCUCCCCCAAAGCUUGACUAUGAAGGAAGCUGAGAGCCUUGAAAACAAUUUCAUAGAAUUAUUCAUGCCCUCAAACAUGUUCUCUAUCAAGACACUGCCUUAGGAAACGUACACACUUCUAUUAAAAAAACAGAAACAUCUAUUACGUGUACUCCACAACAUUGUUCCAGACUGUCUGCAAUGAAACAUCCUGAUCAGAUACAAGAUAUUUGAAGUAAGCAGUUUCAGGAUGGUUGCUAGUUGAAACCACAACAAUUUAAUUUAGUAGUUGGGUGAAACUGCAAGAUCACAAAGAGCUCAUGAAAUAUUCUUCUCAAUGUAUUUAACAGUCAAAACAAGCCUUUGGUAAAGUAAAUUCAGGUGUCUAUUUUUACAAUAAGGCUUUUCUUUUCCUAAUGAAUCUCUGCAGUAAACAGCAAAGUGAAUAAGUAAGCUAUAUACCUACGCUGUCUGUUCAGAUUUAAAUAGUUUUAUAUUUAAUUGAUUUUUGUUUUUCCUGAUGCUAAUGCUUACAGUGCAAAAUGAAAGUAAGCAAAGCUGCCUCAGACAACUUUUACUCCAAUACAUGACGCAAGUUACUAUCAUAUAUGAACACAGAGACAUAACACAUACUUUCUCCUAACCAUAGAAGCUAAUAUUUUUCACAUUGUAAAAAUAACAACUUUCCAAUGGAAAAAAGAAACAGACCAAAAACCAGAAAGUGUAACUGACUAUAUAAUGUGCCUCUGUAAUUCAAAAAUACUUUCCAAACUCACUGUACUCUGAGUUUACCUUUAUUUUACAUAGCCUUGCUCUUUCAUGAGAGCAACUAUUCACUGCUUCAGUCUAGACCAACAUCUGAAGAACUGGAGUAUUCUGUAAGUCUUUGCUUGGAAAAACAGAGCUUUCAUGAAAAGGCAUGUUCAUUACUAACUGUUUCUCCUGGUUAAGUGCCAAGAACUACAGAGCGCUCUUAGGUAUGCUUUGCUAACAGCCACAGUGUGCUUCCUUACCUAAGACUGUGCAUUAACUUGCUUCAUUUCUCACUCACUUUUUAAGGAAACAACAAAAAAAGAGCAAUUAAUUAACAUGUUAACUGAAUAAGAAAGACACUCACCUCCAC